rnacentral:misc_RNA from 1 species
UCCGAGUUGACCCCGGCGGUCUCCCACGAGUCCCCACCAUUACGUGCUGGCAACGUAGGACAAGGGUUGCGCUCGUUGCGGGACUUAACCCAACAUCUCACGACACGAGUUGACGACAGCCAUGCAGCACCUCUGUAGCGGCCCCCGAAGGGGAAACCCUGUUUCCAGGACCGUCCACCACAGUUCAAGCCCAGGUAAGGUUCUUCGCGUUGCAUCGAAUUAAACCACAUGCUCCACCGCUUGUGCGGGCCCCCGUCAAUUCCUUUGAGUUUUAGCCUUGCGGCCGUACUCCCCAGGCGGGGCACUUAAUGCGUUAGCUGCGGCACGGAUCCCGUUGGUUGAGACCCACACCUAGUGCCCAACGUUUACGGCGUGGACUAC